UACGUAGGUGGCAAGCGUUGUCCGGAUUUACUGGGUGUAAAGGGCGUGCAGCCGGGCUGACAAGUCAGAUGUGAAAUCCCGCGGCUCAACCGCGGAACUGCAUUUGAAACUGUCAGUCUUGAGUACCGGAGAGGUCAUCGGAAUUCCUUGUGUAGCGGUGAAAUGCGUAGAUAUGAGGAAGAACACCAGUGGCGAAGGCGGAUGACUGGACGGCAACUGACGGUGAGGCGCGAAAGCGUGGGGAGCAAACAGG
rnacentral:rRNA from 1 species